AUGCGGGGUUGUUUGCAUUCCCUCAACUCAAUAAGGCAGGGCCUGUCCAGCUCUUGCCUUUUUCACAUUCAGUAUCUACAUGUAAAGGGAGCAGACACAGGAAAAAGUAGAACGCUGCAUUUACUUUACAUUUUGCUUUGGAGUCGGAAGUUCCAAAAUCACCAGGAGAGCUCCUCAGGCAUCUCCUGCCUGUAAUUCCUGGGAAAUGCCACCUGCCACCCAUCCUUGGAAGCGUCGCCCAUUCUCAGGAUCUCAUGCGUCACCAUUCAUCACAGUCACAGCGCUUGCAGACAUCUGGAUAAAAGGAAAAGCCCAUUUUUUUAAAACUUACACGUUAAAUUUUCCUCUAAUUACCAUUUUAUUCUUUUAAAUUUCAUUAUGUUUAAUUACAUUUAGUAUGGAUUAAGGCACAGCCAGCCUGGAUUAAGGCAUCACCAGCCUGGCAUCAGACUCUCCGGACAAUGCCAGCCCAGAGGGGGCUGACCUGGAGGACAUUCCCCCGGAGGACAUGGAGUGGGAGCCUCCAGGUCUUGACCUGAGUCCCACUCCGUGGUGUCAGCCCCGUGGCCAAAGUUUCCCCAGCCGAGGAGGCUAUCGCCGCGACAACGGCAGGGUCAACAGAAAUCCAGUCGUGGGCUCAGCUCCGGGAGGAAAAAACGAGGGUAUGCUACCCAGACCUGCCUCCUGAUCCAGGCUUGGUCCAAGAUGGUCUUUCAGGGUAUCCCAUCCAAUGGUUCCCAAAAGGAACCACCUCCGGUCUCCUCAUGGCGCUGGUACUGGCCUGUGCUUUUGUUUUGCAGGGUCCCUGGUUUGGUCCAGUUCCUGUCCUGCCUGCCCCUCGACACCCUCCGACUCUGCCAACCCCUCGCCGUCUACCGAUG